UACGAAGGGGGCUAGCGUUGCUCGGAAUCACUGGGCGUAAAGCGCACGUAGGCGGAUUGCUAAGUCAGGGGUGAAAUCCUGGAGCUCAACCCCAGAACUGCCUUUGAUACUGGCGAUCUUGAGUCCGGGAGAGGUGAGUGGAACUGCGAGUGUAGAGGUGAAAUUCGUAGAUAUUCGCAAGAACACCAGUGGCGAAGGCGGCUCACUGGCCCGGUACUGACGCUGAGGUGCGAAAGCGUGGGGAGCGAACAGG
rnacentral:rRNA from 1 species